rnacentral:rRNA from 1 species
CACGUAGGCGGAUCGGUAAGUCAGAUGUGAAAUCCCGGAGCUCAACUCCGGAACUGCAUUUGAUACUGCCAGUCUUGAGUGAGGUAGAGGGGGGUGGAAUUCCCGGUGUAGAGGUGAAAUUCGUAGAUAUCGGGGGGAACACCAGAGGCGAAGGCGACCCCCUGGGCCUUUACUGACGCUGAGGUGCGAAAGCGUGGGGAGCAAACA